rnacentral:rRNA from 1 species
AACGAACGCUGGCGGCAGGCUUAACACAUGCAAGUCGAACGCUCGUAGCAAUACGGGAGUGGCAGACGGGUGAGUAACGCGUGGGAACAUACCCUUUGGUUCGGAAUAACUGAGAGAAAUUUCAGCUAAUACCGGAUGAGCCCUACGGGGGAAAGAUUUAUCGCCAAAGGAUUGGCCCGCGUCUGAUUAGCUAGUUGGUGAGGUAACGGCCCACCAAGGCGACGAUCAGUAGCUGGUCUGAGAGGAUGAUCAGCCACACUGGGACUGAGACACGGCCCAGACUCCUACGGGAGGCAGCAGUGGGGAAUAUUGGACAAUGGGGGCAACCCUGAUCCAGCCAUGCCGCGUGAGUGAUGAAGGCCUUAGGGUUGUAAAGCUCUUUCGUCAGGGAAGAUAAUGACGGUACCUGAAGAAGAAGCCCCGGCUAACUUCGUG